GACGAACGCUGGCGGCAUGCCUAAUACAUGCAAGUUGAACGAUGGUAUUCUCUGCUUGCAGAGAAUUGAAGAGUAGCGAACGGGUGAGUAACACGUGGGGAACCUGCCCAUGAGAGGGGGAUAACAUUCGGAAACGGAUGCUAAUACCGCAUAAUGCUUUGGACCGCCUGGUCCAGAGACGAAAGACGGCUUUUGCUGUCACUCAUGGAUGGCCCCGCGCCGUAUUAGCUAGUUGGUGAGGUAAUGGCUCACCAAAGCUGUGAUACGUAGCCGACCUGAGAGGGUGAUCGGCCACACUGGGACUGAGACACGGCCCAGACUCCUACGGGAGGCAGCAGUAGGGAAUCUUCCACAAAGGGCGAAAGCCUGAUGGAGCAAUGCCGCGUGAAUGAAGAAGGUCUUCGGAUCGUAAAGUUCUGUUAUUAGAGAAGAACAAGUCAAGGAGUAACUGUCUUGACUUUGACGGUACCUAACCAGAAAGUCACGGCUAACUACGUG
rnacentral:rRNA from 1 species